UGGCCAUAUCGCCCUGAAACACCGGUUCCUGUACGAUCACCUAAGUUGAGCAAUGUCGAGCCUGGUCAGUACCUAGAUGGGUGAUAGCUUAGGAAUAACAAUUGCUGUAA